rnacentral:rRNA from 1 species
AUGAACGCUGGCGGCGUGCCUAAUACAUGCAAGUCGAGCGAACAGACGAGGAGCUUGCUCCUCUGACGUUAGCGGCGGACGGGUGAGUAACACGUGGAUAACCUACCUAUAAGACUGGGAUAACUUCGGGAAACCGGAGCUAAUACCGGAUAACAUGUUGAACCGCAUGGUUCAACAGUGAAAGGCGGUCUUGCUGUCACUUAUAGAUGGAUCCGCGCUGCAUUAGCUAGUUGGUAAGGUAACGGCUUACCAAGGCAACGAUGCGUAGCCGACCUGAGAGGGUGAUCGGCCACACUGGAACUGAGACACGGUCCAGACUCCUACGGGAGGCAGCAGUAGGGAAUCUUCCGCAAUGGGCGAAAGCCUGACGGAGCAACGCCGCGUGAGUGAAGAAGGUCUUCGGAUCGUAAAACUCUGUUAUUAGGGAAGAACAAAUGUGUAAGUAACUAUGCACGUCUUGACGGUACCUAAUCAGAAAGCCACGGCUAACUACGUG